ensembl:snoRNA
CUGGCCCUGAAUCAAAACUGGCAGUUUUUCGAAGCUGUUGGUUUAAAGCAGGAACCUAAUGUGGUGUCUUUCAAUGGUCUGUUGGCCACUUCAGAACUUUAGAAAUGUAACAGGCGUUACAUCAGGAAGAAACAACU